rnacentral:misc_RNA from 1 species
UACAGAGGCUCCAAGCGUUAAUCGGAUUCACUGGGCGUAAAGGGUGCGCAGGCGGCCAGAUGUGCCAGGGGUGAAAUCCUGCAGCUUAACUGUAGAACUGCCUUUGAAACUACCUGGCUAGAGUAUCGGAGAGGUAAGCGGAAUUCCAGGUGUAGCAGUGAAAUGCGUAGAUAUCUGGAGGAACACCGAAGGCGAAGGCAGCUUACUGGACGAUUACUGACGCUAAGGCACGAAAGCAUGGGGAGCGAAAGGG